AUUAAAAAGUUAGUUGUGGGAAUCAAUUUAAUUUGAGUAGAAUUAAUUAUUAGUAAAUUUAUUAAAUAAAGUAAUAUUUUUUUUAUUAAUAUUUAUGAAUAAAUUUAGGUAAUUAUAGUGAAUUAGUAUAGUGAUAGAAAUUAAAUUUAAUAAAUAAAAUUUAUGGAAGAAGUAAUUUUUAUGUACCUUGUGUAUCAGGGUUUAUUAAUUAAAAAUUAAGAAUUUAAUUUUCUCGAUUUUAAAAGAGUUAAAGAAUUAUAAAUUUUAUUGUUGAAUAAAUAUUUUAAAUAAUUUUUUAGAAAUGAAACGUUAUUCGUUUUUAAUGGUAUCUAGUUAUUGAAGAAAAAAAUUUAAUUUUAAUUUUUUAUUUGUUUAGUUUUAUUUUUAAAAUUAAACAAUUUUAAAAUUUAUAUUUUAAGGGAUAAGCUUUAAGGUAUAAAUUUAUAACCUAUUUUUUUAAAAUAAAUUUAUAGGAUUAGAAAUUUUCAUUAUUUAAUUUGUUAUAAUUAAUUUAUUAUAAAAUAAAAUUUUUUGUGGCGGGGGUUUAAUUAUUUUAUUCAAUUUAAUUAAAAAAUUGUAGCUUAGUUGUAAUAAUGAUAAAAUUAGUAUAAUUUAUUGUAACUUUAAAAUUUAAUUAAGGUUAAAUAAAGGAAUUCGGCAAAUUAUUUUUCGCCUGUUUAUUAAAAACAUGUCUUUUUGAUUAUAAUUUAAAGUCUGACCUGCCCUCUGAAAAUUUAAAGGCCGCGGUAUUUUGACCGUGCGAAGGUAGCAUAAUAAUUAGUUUUUUAAUUGAAAGCUGGAAUGAAUGGUUGAACGAGAAAAUAACUGUCUCUAUUUAAAUUUAUUAGAAUUUUAUUAUUAAGUUAAAAAGCUUAGAUAAUUUUGAAAGACGAGAAGACCCUAUAGAGUUUUAUAAAUUUAUAAUUAAUAAAUUUUUUGAAUUUUUUCUUUAUUAUUUGUGAAUUUAUUUAGUUGGGGUGAUUGAAAAAUUUAAUAAACUUUUUUUUAAAAUAACAUAGAUUUAUGAUUAAUUGAUCCAUUAUAAUGAUUAUAAGAUUAAAUUACCUUAGGGAUAACAGCGUAAUUUUUUUAAAGAGUUCUAAUCGAAAAGAAAGUUUGCGACCUCGAUGUUGGAUUAAAAUUAAUCUUUGGUGUAGAAGCUAAAGUUUUAGGUCUGUUCGACCUUUAAAAUUUUACAUGAUCUGAGUUUAAACCGGUGUGAGCCAGGUUGGUUUCUAUCUUUAAGAAAAUUUAAUUUUUUAGUACGAAAGGACCAAAUAUUAGUUAAAUUAAUUUUUAUUGAAUAAUUCUGUUACUUUGGCAGAAUAGUGUGUUAAAUUUAGAAUUUAAUUAAGUAUAUUAAUUACAGGUAAU
rnacentral:rRNA from 1 species